GAAUUCGCCCUUAGAGUUUGAUCCUGGCUCAGGAUGAACGCUGGCGGCGUGCCUAACACAUGCAAGUCGAACGGAGUUCUUAAGGAAUGCGACUUCGGUCAAAUGACUUUUGAACUUAGUGGCGGACGGGUGAGUAACGCGUGAGCAACCUGCCUUUCAGAGGGGGAUAACAUUUGGAAACAGAUGCUAAUACCGCAUAAGAUUACAGUACCGCAUGAUACAGUGAUCAAAGGAGCAAUCCGCUGAAAGAUGGGCUCGCGUCCGAUUAGAUAGUUGGUGAGGUAACGGCUCACCAAGUCGACGAUCGGUAGCCGGACUGAGAGGUUGAACGGCCACAUUGGGACUGAGACACGGCCCAGACUCCUACGGGAGGCAGCAGUGGGGAAUAUUGCACAAUGGGCGAAAGCCUGAUGCAGCAACGCCGCGUGAGGGAAGACGGUUUUCGGAUUGUAAACCUCUGUUUUCGGUGACGAAUAAAUGACGGUAACCGAGUAGGAAGCCACGGCUAACUACGUGCCAGCAGCCGCGGUAAAACGUAGGUCACAAGCGUUGUCCGGAAUUACUGGGUGUAAAGGGAGCGCAGGCGGGAAGACAAGUUGGAAGUGAAAUCUAUGGGCUCAACCCAUAAACUGCUUUCAAAACUGUUUUUCUUGAGUAGUGCAGAGGUAGGCGGAAUUCCCGGUGUAGCGGUGGAAUGCGUAGAUAUCGGGAGGAACACCAGUGGCGAAGGCGGCCUACUGGGCACCAACUGACGCUGAGGCUCGAAAGUGUGGGUAGCAAACAGAAUUAGAUACCCUGGUAGUCCACACCGUAAAC
rnacentral:rRNA from 1 species